GGGUGCGAUCAUACCAGCAGUAAUGCACCGGAUCCCUUCAGAACUCCGCAGUUAACCGUGCUUGGGCGAGAGUAGUACUAGGAUGGGUGACCUCCUGGGAAGUCCUCGUGUUGCACCCC
rfam:Gossypium raimondii scaffold_136_contig_6, whole genome shotgun sequence.